UACGUAGGGUGCGAGCGUUAAUCGGAUUUACUGGGCGUAAAGCGUGCGCAGGCGGCCCGUUAAGACAGGUGUGAAAUCCCUGGGCUCAACCUAGGAAUUGCGCUUGUGACUGGCGGGCUCGAGUACGGUAGAGGGGGGUGGAAUUCCAUGUGUAGCAGUGAAAUGCGUAGAGAUCAGGAGGAACACCGAUGGCGAAGGCAGCCCCCUGGGCCUGUACUGACGCUCAUGCACGAAAGCGUGGGGAGCAAACAGG
rnacentral:rRNA from 1 species